GACAGAGGGUGCAAACGUUGUUCGGAAUUACUGGGCGUAAAGCGUGUGUAGGCGGUCUCAUAAGUCGGAUGUGAAAGCCCCGGGCUCAACCCGGGAAGUGCAUUCGAAACUGCGAGGCUAGAGUAUCGGAGAGGUUGGUGGAAUUCUCGGUGUAGAGGUGAAAUUCGUAGAUAUCGAGAGGAACACCGGUGGCGAAGGCGGCCUUCUGGACGAUGACUGACGCUGAGACGCGAAAGCGUGGGGAGCAAACAGG
rnacentral:rRNA from 1 species